rnacentral:lncRNA from 1 species
GAAGGAUACAAUUAUCUUGAACUAGGACAAUAACAUAAAAAUUGGUGUGUUUUGCAAGGAAGAACUAACAAAACUGAAUUUUGUUUAAAUAUACUACCUCUCCCAAAUAUAGUAGCUUCCACCUAGAGGGUGAGCCUAAGCGUAACCGGAGGGAGACUAGCCCUGCAGGCAUGCACUGCCAUCCACGUAAUGUGAAGAAGAGAGACUCUUGGAAUGCAGGAGAAAUUAGUGUAGGAUUUUUGUUAUAAUGGAUAACAUUCUUCUCUAUUAAGAUAAAUAAACAUUGCAGCUUGAGGACGUAGAAGAUUGUCUCCAAUAGUUUUCAAAAUGUUUCCAAAACAAUAUUGUUCACAUUUGAUGUUAAGAAAUGGGCUACUAACUUGAGCAUGACUUUCAUUUAUAUUGAUAGUUGAAUACACAUAGCGUUAGAUUAUUAAUUUCAGUCUGAUUGUUGUUUUCCCUUCAGCUGCAUUAACUAGCUUGGUAUUUCAGGGCUCUGUAAAUUGCGCUGUUUCCCACCUGUUGCACUCGCAUGGGAUGAUAUAUCUGGUCUUCAUAUAUAUCCAAAUUUGAAUAGCGACACACUUUUUGUUGAUUCAGCACCAGCACAAUUGAGUUUGGCUCAGCAAUCGGAAAAAACCAUUGUUCUUUUACUGGUUGACCCACACUGUUCUUAUAAAAGUAGCAUUUCAAUUUCGGUCAGUGCUGUGGCAAGUAGGCUUUUGUUGUUGUAUUGUCCAAAGAUAGUUGGUUUCUCUGGUGCUGUUAUUUUCUUUACUCUGACGUGGCAAGCGUACUCAUCAGAUUCUGAUGUGCGAAUACCAUCAACAUUGGCUACUGUGCUGUCCAUUUUGACAUUAUUACCAUGUUUCUUUUGUCUAGCCAUUUUACCAAUUUUCUUUUCCUUAGUUACCUCUGAGUCAUUUCCUCCAUAUGUUAGCUUCAUCAGUGUUUCUCUAAUUUGGUAUAUCAUUGCCAACGGGCUCAUAGCAGUUCUGAGUUUAAUAUCUUACUUGACGUUAUAUGGGACUGCUCUUACAUAUAUUUUCAUCCAGAAAAGGUUAGAAAACUGAAUUUUACUACCUAAAUAGAAGUACUUUGUAUAACAUUGAUUAGCCGUAAU